rnacentral:rRNA from 1 species
UGGGGGAUAUUGCACAAUGGGCGAAAGCCUGAUGCAGCGACGCCGCGUGGGGGAUGAAGGCUUUCGGGUUGUAAACCUCUUUCGCUAUCGAACAAGGCCCGCUUAGGGUGGGUUGAGGGUAGGUGGAGAAGAAGCGCCGGCUAACUACGUGCCAGCAGCCGCGGUAAUACGUAGGGCGCGAGCGUUGUCCGGAAUUAUUGGGCGUAAAGGGCUUGUAGGCGGCUUGUUGCGCCUGCUGUGAAAACGCGGGGCUUAACUUCGCGCGUGCAGUGGGUACGGGCAGGCUUGAGUGUGGUAGGGGUGACUGGAAUUCCAGGUGUAGCGGUGGAAUACGCAGAUAUCUGGAGGAACACCGAUGGCGAAGGCAGGUCACUGGGCCAUUACUGACGCUGAGGAGCGAAAGCAUGGGUAGCGAACAGG